CUGCUGCCUCCCGUAGGAGUUUGGACCGUGUCUCAGUUCCAAUGUGGGGGACCUUCCUCUCAGAACCCCUACGCAUCGUCGGCUUGGUGGGCCGUUGCCCCACCAACUACCUAAUGCGCCGCAUGCCCAUCCGUGACCGGGGUCGCCCCCUUUGGCCGGCAGGGGAUGUCCCCUCCCGGCAUUAUGUUGUAUUAGGCGGGAUUUCUCCCGGUUAUCCAUCUGUCACGGCCAGGUUGCAUACGUGUUGCUCACCCGUGCGCCGGUCGCCGGCGG
rnacentral:rRNA from 1 species